UUUCCAAGAUCUGCAGUCUUUUGGUAUUCCCUCAAGUUUGCAUGACAAGUUGAUACUUUCACUUAUAUCAUCUAUUGCAGAUUUGUAAUUCUAGUUGGCCGAGGUGACCACAAUGACGGCUGCCCUUAUCACACAAUGUUGCUGGUGUUUCAAUGGCACCAAAGCAGACUCUAUCAAAAACUGAAAACGAGACUGACUGACUUCACAAGAAAAUGCAAUUGAAGGCAUUCUCACCUGGAGGAAUUUCAGUUAUUAGGGCCUAACCAGCAAUUGUGUUGUUCUAGUCAAAAUAACCUCAAGUUUUCAAGAAUGGAUUCAUCCCUGUCCAUAAUUGAUAGCAAUGAUUUCUUCCAAAGUUCAUGUUACUAACCAGUCAGCACUAUAGCCUCAUGCCAUUGCUACUUAGUAAUGAUGAAUACUAGUAAUUCAAUAUGAAAAUUGCUUUGACAUUCUGGAAUGUGGUAAGAUUCUUUAUAAAUUCAAAUAUUAUUUAACCGUUUAUCACUUAAGAUGCCCCAUUUUGUAUUUGAGGGCAGUGGUGGCCUUAACUGCAAUUG